rnacentral:pre_miRNA from 13 species
CAAUUUGUUUAGUGCAGAUCCUCAUUUAAUUAUGACAAACCCACACCUGACUACUUAGAAUCAUCCGUUAUCAUAAGCUCGACUAUAUCAUUGACAUAGAAAAACAAAAGACAAAUAUUGUGUGAAUAAUAAA